UACCUCAUUUACCAGAAGGAUUUCCUUCAGGUUGAUGAGGUUGUUGUACCUCAUCGACCGGAAGGAAUCCCUUCUGGUUGAUGAGGUU
rnacentral:miRNA from 1 species